UACGGGGGGAGCAAGCGUUGUUCGGAUUUACUGGGCGUAAAGGGCGCGUAGGCGGUCAGCACAAGUCAGUUGUGAAAUCUCCGGGCUUAACUCGGAAAGGUCAACUGAUACUGUGCGACUAGAGUGCAGAAGGGGCAACUGGAAUUCCAGGUGUAGCGGUGAAAUGCGUAGAUAUCUGGAGGAACACCGGUGGCGAAGGCGG
rnacentral:rRNA from 1 species